GAAAGCGCUACAACAUUAGCAAACCGGAAGAGGUACGUCCCAGUGGGAAACCUAAGACGUCGUUGAUUGGACGACAGCUCGUUUUACUUUUGAACCGGAAGUUAUUCUGGUGUGUGCUUCGUUUGAAUGAAAAGCAAAGCAAGCAGGUCACGUCGGUCACGUCGCUAUGUUUUGCUCAAACUGUGGAAAAGAGCUGGUCGAGCCGUCACCAAACUUUUGCAGCAGUUGUGGCAAGAGGCUUGAAGUUUGUCCGGAGGAUACUCCACAAUGUUCAACACAACAGUCUGUCCCAUCCUGCCCUACACCAGCCCUCAGCACCUUCCUUGAAUACAGAAAAAAGAAAAACGAGGAGCGACAAAAGUAUUCUCUUGGGAGAAAGGGAUUAAAGCAAAAGGACAAACUUAAAGUUCGGAUAAAUAUUGGCUUGAUGGCCAUUCA